rnacentral:rRNA from 1 species
AUUGAACGCUGGCGGCAGGCCUAACACAUGCAAGUCGAACGAGUGGCGGACGGGUGAGUAAUGUCUGGGAAACUACCCGAUGGAGGGGGAUAACUACUGGAAACGGUAGCUAAUACCGCAUACCAUCGGAUGUGCCCAGAUGGGAUGAGCUAGUAGGUGGGGUAAUGGCUCACCUAGGCGACGAUCCCUAGCUGGUCUGAGAGGAUGACCAGCCACACUGGCACUGAGGCACGGUCAAGACUCCUACGAGAGGCAGCAGUGGGGAAUCUUGCACCAUGGGCGCUAGCCUGAUGCAGCCACUCCGCGUGUAUGUAGAAGGACUUCGGGUUGUAAAGUUCUUUCAGCGGGGAGGCGUUGCCCGCAGGAGAAGCACCGGCUAACUCCGUGCCAGCCGCCGCGGUAAUUC